UACGAAGGGGGCUAGCGUUGCUCGGAAUCACUGGGCGUAAAGGGUGCGUAGGCGGGUCUUUAAGUCAGGGGUGAAAUCCUGGAGCUCAACUCCAGAACUGCCUUUGAUACUGAGGAUCUUGAGUUCGGGAGAGGUGAGUGGAACUGCGAGUGUAGAGGUGAAAUUCGUAGAUAUUCGCAAGAACACCAGUGGCGAAGGCGGCGGCCUGGGCCAAUAUUGACGCUGAGGUGCGAAAGCGUGGGGAGCAAACAGG
rnacentral:rRNA from 1 species